rnacentral:rRNA from 1 species
UCGACGAGCUUGUUUUUCGGAAUAAGCUUAGUGGCGGACGGGUGAGUACACGCGUGAACAAUCUGCCCUAUACAAAGGAAUAGCCUCGGGAAACUGGGAUUAAAACCAUAUAACACUUACAUAUCGCAUGGUGAGUAAGUCAAAUUGAUUAAGAGGUAUAGGAUGAGUUCGCGUCUGAUUAGCUAGUUGGUGAGGUAAUGGCUCACCAAGGCGACGAUCAGUAGCCGGCCUGAGAGGGUGAACGGCCACACUGGAACUGAGACACGGUCCAGACUCCUACGGGAGGCAGCAGUGGGGAAUAUUGCACAAUGGGCGAAAGCCUGAUGCAGCGACGCCGCGUGAGUGAAGAAGGCCUUCGGGUCGUAAAACUCUGUCCUUGGUGAAGAAAAAAAUGACGGUAGCCAAGGAGGAAGCCCCGGCUAACUACGUGCCAGCAGCCGCGGUAAUACGUAGGGGGCGAGCGUUGUCCGGAUUUACUGGGCGUAAAGGGUGAGUAGGCGGUUGUACCAGUCAGAUGUAAAAGGCACAGGCUUAACUUGUGUAAGCAUUUGAAACUGUACGACUUGAGUGCAGGAGAGGUAAGUGGAAUUCCUAGUGUAGCGGUGAAAUGCGUAGAUAUUAGGAGGAACACCAGUGGCGAAGGCGACUUACUGGACUGUAA